rnacentral:rRNA from 1 species
CUGGGGGCUGCUACCAUGCAAGUCGAACGUGAUCCGCCCUUCGGGGUGGUGAAAGUGGCGCACGGGUGAGUAACGCGUGGAUAAUCUGCCCGAGGAUUUGGGAUAACAUCUCGAAAGGGGUGCUAAUACCGAAUAAGCCCACGGGGUCUACGGAUCUUGCGGGAAAAGGGGGGGACCUUCGGGCCUCCUGUCCUUGGAUGAGUCUGCGUACCAUUAGCUAGUUGGUGGGGUAAUGGCCUACCAAGGCGACGAUGGUUAGCUGGUCUGAGAGGAUGAUCAGCCACACUGGAACUGAGACACGGUCCAGACUCCUACGGGAGGCAGCAGUGGGGAAUUUUGCGCAAUGGGGGAAACCCUGACGCAGCAACGCCGCGUGGGUGAUGAAGGCCUUCGGGUCGUAAAGCUCUGUCUGGAGGGAAGAAAUGAUUGGGAGCUAAUACCUCUUGAUCUUGACGGUACCUCUGAAGGAAGCACCGGCUAACUCCGUGCCAGCAGCCGCGGUAAUACGGAGGGUGCAAGCGUUGUUCGGAAUUAUUGGGCGUAAAGCGCGUGUAGGCGGUCUUUUAAGUCUGAUGUGAAAGCCCCGGGCUCAACCUGGGAAGUGCAUUGGAAACUGGGAGGCUUGAGUACGGGAGAGGAGAGUGGAAUUCCUAGUGUAGGAGUGAAAUCCGUAGAUAUUAGGAGGAACACCGGUGGCGAAGGCGGCUCUCUGGACCGAUACUGACGCUGAGACGCGAAAGCGUGGGUAGCAAACAGGAUUAGAUACCCUGGUAGUCCACGCCGUAAACGAUGAGUACUAGUGUUGCGGGUAUUGACCCCU